GGGAGGCAGCAGUGAGGAAUUUUCUACAAUGAGCGAAAGCUUGAUAGAGCAAUACCGCGUGAGGGAUGACGGCCCUAGGGUUGUAAACCUCUUUUUUCAAGGAGGAAGUUCUGACGUGUACUUGAAGAAUAAGCAUCGGCUAACUCCGUGCCAGCAGCCGCGGUAAU
rnacentral:rRNA from 1 species